rnacentral:lncRNA from 1 species
UAUAAAAGACUAAAAGAGAGAGUUUUUAAUUUUUAUUCCCAAAAUGCCGGUCCCUAUUAAUAUAAUUCUAAUCACAUACUAACAAUAUCAUUCAUUCAAUUUAAUAGAAUAAAUCACAAUCGUACAAUUUUUAUUUUAUUUUUAAAUUAUCAUAAAAUAUAUUAAUUUUUAGUCAUUGGAUCUAAUCCAAUAGCUGACAAAUUAAAUAUCUAUUUUUUACCUAAAUUGCCUCGCGUACCAAAUUUCACUUUUUAUAUGCGUACUAAUAACCGCCGCACAUAUAAUAUCGUAUUUUAUCACAAAUAAUAUUCGUAUACGCCUUUCCUAAAUAUUUUUUUUCUCACACCCCGUCACACGUAAUAUCUGCCACCUACAUAACAUCCAAUCACGUAAUACCUUCGAGAUAUAUAAUAUUUAAUCAUAUUUUUUAAGAUGAAUAUAAAAAGUAUCUCAAUUUUAUCUACUAAUAUUUAAAAUAUGAGAUAUUUUUCAAUAAAAUAUAACAUAUGAAUUUACAAUUUAAAAAUUUAAAUUUAUUGAUAAAUGUGAUUUACAAAUUUAUAUUGUUUUAAUAUAAUUAUUAAAAUAGUUGUUGACUGAUUUUUUUAGUAGGUAAUAAUAUUGUAUUCUAUUUGCGAGAAUAGAAAAAAAUUUAUACUUAUCUAAAUUUCUGUCAACUGAAGGAUAUCUGCUAUAGAAUAUUUUUCAUAAGCUCCCCAUAAAAGAAUAUUUCAUACUCAGAAAAUCUCUACGCAACACACGUUGAGAAUAAUUAGUAUCCACUAUCUCUCAAUUAACUAACUAAAAAAAAUUGGUUUGAAAAAUAGAAUGAUUUAAAUAAGUUUAUCAAAUCGACUUUAAAUUUUAAAUUAGGUUCAUAAUUUCAAAUUUAAAUUAAUAUUUUAAUUCAAAACUU